ACGCCAUACUGGUAUAGUGCCAAGUAAAUGAUGCACUGAAAGCGCCGCUGUUUUAGAACGACAGUAAUGACUGGCUAAAGCCACGAGCAAAAAAAGUUAAGUUGAAAAAGUUCUUGUUAGUUAGGGAAUGAAACUCGGUCACGAUGUGAUAAUUUAGGUGCGAAAUCGCCAAAGGAAAAGGAAUUUCUGUUGCUCAAGGAGGCUGGGGCAAAAUGGGUGGUAAAAGAAAGGUUGGCGUUUUGUGGCGCAAAGGUAACUCACCGUAAACUGCGUCCACGGCUCUGUUAUUCCCAGGUCACCUGCGUAUCAAGAGCUAUACGCCAUGCCUUCUGCCGUAUUUCUUUUUUUAAUUGUGCCAAGGCCUAUGCAGUCGUAAAACUGCUAUUAAGUUUAGCGUCUUACAAUUUCUUUUGAAUAUUACUUUCCAGUAUUAGGUAUGGUCUAGUCAUGUCCUGUUUAUUUUUACCAACCAUGUUUGGACGUGCCAAAAAAAAAGAAAAACUACGCGUGCCUUCUUGAGUUAGGGAUUUCCCUUGUGCAUGGUAGGGCUUUGCCGAAAAUUUUAUGCGCGUAGGUGGUACGCGUACAUUAAAUUUUUUUUUUCGACACAGAUGCGCAACUUAUUCCGCUAUUCACACCCAGAUACGAUGAGAGCGUCUGGCGCACUCGCCUAGCUUCUAAUCAGAAAGAGUGAUUACAGCCAAUGCCGCGCAGUAAAGGAGCUGUUUGCGUCAUGUCGACUAGAUGGCAAAGCAUGACAUACGGCAAUGGACGGAAGACUAAAUAUAAGCUAUACGUGUACUAAUGAACAAUCUUUAUUGCUCGGUCAAUGCGUUAUUACGGGCGUUUACCCUUAUUCGUCUAGGUUGCCUCCUAAUAUUUUACUUUAUUUCCGACUCAAACGUACAGUUUUGACCCGAUAGUUCACGCAUUGCCGUUUGCACAAUGUCCUCAUUGACCGGAGGCAUGGACAGCAACAUCAGCACUGAUGGCGAGAUCUUGAUCAACCUUGAUGGCGGCACUCUGAUCAACCAGAAAAAUUUAGAUGCGUGUUAUUGGCUGCGGGAGUGUUCACGUCGAAAGAAAGCAAAAAAGAAAGUCGCUAUGCUUUCGUGAUACAGGGUGAAUAAGUGUCUCAGUUUAGCCCCUAGUCCGGUGCCUUAUGGCUCCAAGACGGCCCGGAGGUGGGAUACCAGGGUUUCCUGAAAAAUUAGAGUGAGGGCAUGGCACGGAGUGAGGCAGUGUAGACACUGUGGUGGUUACUCCGACAGCGGCCAUACCUUGUGGAUCUGCUCCUCCUCAGAUAUGUUCUUCAAAGCUUCCCUGACGAGAUUUCCCUCGGACCCUUCGACUCGCGUUCAGGAAGCUUACGUUCCUGACAAUAGCUUUGCACUAGCGGCUAAGUAAAACAAAGUUGGUCAUUUGAAGUAGCAGUUGUGCGCAAUUUGAUUGCACUCAUCAUGAACACGAUGGCGCCACCGGCAAUGAUUCCGCAAACGUAUACGGUCAGUUUCAAGCUCCGUACUGCCUUCUAAGGUUGGCCGCUACAUUUAUCGUGCGUAUGCCUCCUGUGGUGCCGUAUUCUUUUGUUUGUUUAUUUGUUUAUUGAUGCAAGUCAUUUCUGCCACAUUCUUUGCUCCAUUCGUCAUUGACUCGGACAACUGUCACGUCGCUGUUACCGCCACAAUCGUCCGCUCGGCGCCGCACGAUUAUACGAAAAUUAUUUGAAGGGUCGUUUCACUUCGCCACACUGUAAGUUGCCGGCGUGUAUAUUAGGCUGUCCUUCUGCUAAGCGACGCUAGUCUGAAACCGGGGGCGCUAUUACAGAGCAGCGUAAUGUUUCCGCCGCGUAGGCAUGCUGAGCCAAGCGGAGCUUGUAAGGCAAUUCGACAAUAGGGCCCCAGAACGAGCUUCACCUCGGUGGCUGCUCAAAUGACGGCUCGUCUGCCUGCGGACGAAGCCGCGUUUUAAUUGGUCUUUUGCGCAUCACAGGCCCCUGCCGACGGCUCCAUCAGACUAAUUAUAAACUUCGAGCAACUUAAAGGGAACACGCCGUUUACUUUUAAAAAACUGUACUGACUAAACAGACACGUCCCUCGCAAAAGUCUUCCGUGAAGCUAAUUGUCUGAAGAGAAAGAAAUCUCAGUUAUACUGUUCCGAAUUACCAUCUGACGUUGAAAUCCACAGAUCAUGAGUAAAUGUUGACUAGAAGAUAAAUCGGUGUUCCCUGUCGUAUUGCGCACGACUGCAUUCGACUGGUUGCUACCGUGCUCCGAAUCGAUUUGCAGCGAUGCGGAGCGUCCUGAAGAGUGGAACCGGAGAAAGCUGGCCAUAGCCGAACGUUCUGUUUCUCUCCGAGCAAUCUGAGCAGCCACGUGAUCGGGAUUAUGUCGGAUCUCGGUCGCGUUAUACCGGCGCUGCCAGCUCGAAGUUGAGAGCGUAUACCCGAGCGCUCUUAGCUGGAGCACAGCACUCUGGACGAACCGCGCGAAUAUGUUCCGAGCCCUCAAUUUCAAACAGCCGAAUGCAAACGGCUCCGCCGGAGCAGCUCUAGAGCGCUCGAAAGCGACCAGUCGAAUGUACCGUAACGCAAACUAAUUUCGAAAGCACUGUGGUUCCCGGAUUGUGGGCACCAAAAGCGACCGCUCAGGGCAUGACAUGAUGUCGUGGCCGCCACCUAUCGCGGCGUUCGCAGCGGGAACCGCUAAGGCGGUACGUAGUGUCAGUUUAUGACGCUACUUCCGCGUUGAAGAAGAGCAUAAGGCGCCGUAUUUUGGCAAGAUGCCUUUAUUUUUUCAUUCCUUAUCGUCUGUCCUGCGAGUAGGCCAUCCGCGGCGGCGUCCGAGCCAAUAACGAAGGCCGAUAAAAAUGUAAAAUGAAGUGUAUCGUCAGAUAAUGUGGCACCCGAACGCAUACUCCGCAAGCCUGCGAGCGAGCUGAGACGCACAUCUGCCCUUCAGUGGGGUUGAGGCCAGUCAAGUACCAACGUCAGUGCCGGUGACUGCUGUACAUUUUAUCACGUGCUAGCGCGAGCUCAGAACGUUUGCUCCGAAGAAGGCAAUCCGCAGUGAGGUAGUUGCCACCUCGAGUUGAGAAAUGCCGUGUUUACCUUAAGAUAGGCGACCGCGUACGACGUGAACAGAGGCAACUUCCCGGCAUGGUCCCAAAGCGUCUUAAGGUGGCUGCCACACGGAAUAGUUACUCUAACUGAAGAAGGAGGUGACUAGGCGAGUCGCUUCGUCAACACUCAAUUCGCUGUGUCAAAGACGUUGUCUACAGACGAGAAAACAAAAAAGGAAAUACAGAAUUCGUCCCUCCGGCUUCCUCGCCACAGAUGGACACCGGGGCAGCGAAAUCACCGGCCAAAGUGCCGUGGACUGUCCGCGUGGAGUAUUUGUCAAUGCCUCGAGACUACACCGCUGCCGAGUGGUUCCGAGCAAACGCGGCCUGGCAUCAUACGAGGCCAACCACGUGUACUGGACGAGUGCCAAUUCUCGCUGUCGCUUUCUCUUUCGCUGCGGCAGCGAAGUAGGCAGGGAUCUGUGCGUCGCAGCCUCGAGGCACAGGCAUUGUGUCUUCUGUGAUAGCGUUCAAGUCUAAAAACAUUUUACACAGUUUGGAGCUUAUCUUGUUCCCGAACAGCGUCGUCAUAUAUCUACGUGUAUUUGCUUGCUUUAACAUUUAUUCAACACCCUGCUCUCGCAACUUCGCCGUCAGGAAAUCUGUCACACUCCUACACGUAUGCCGUUCCUGACUUGAGAGUACUGGGAGCUAACAUAGAUGACGAUUAUUCGUUAGGGACAACGUAAGCUCCAAAUGGCGCACAUUUUUCUGAGAGGGCAGAAUUUUCAUACAAAGGAUCUUGGGGCCGUAUUACUGUUAUCUCAAAGAACUAGUUAAGGAUUUUUUCUCGAUUUUCGCAGAAAGCUAGGCUAGUUGGUAUUUAUUUAUCGUAGGCAUAUCGAGCGCUUCCGGGGAAAAACACAAAAGAAAACGUGACAGCGGCCUUCCUGUCUUGUUUGCGUUCCUCUCGUCUUUGUUCCUGUGUUCCAUCAGUGUGUUUUUUUUCCCCGGAACGCUAUGUUGCAGAUCUCAUUAAUUAUUUACAGGAACACUGUUUU